UACGUAGGGAGCAAGCGUUGUCCGGAAUCAUUGGGCGUAAAGCGCGCGUAGGCGGCCCGAUAAGUCCGCUGUGAAAGUCAACGGCUCAACUGUUGGAUGCCGGUGGAUACUGUCGGGCUAGAGUACGGAAGAGGCAAGUGGAAUUCCUGGUGUAGCGGUGGAAUGCGCAGAUAUCGGGAGGAACACCUAUAGCGAAGGCAGCUUGCUGGGAUGUUACUGACGCUAAGGCGCGAAAGCGUGGGGAGCGAACAGG
rnacentral:rRNA from 1 species